rnacentral:lncRNA from 10 species
UCCAUUCCGACCAGCUACCAUCCACUAUACAAAGGUGAACCAUUACACCAUCAGUAAAUGUCAAAAAUUUAAAAUUCCUGAGAUUAGCCUAGAGCAUGGGCUCUAGAGUCAUGUUUCCUGGAUUCAAAUUCUGUGUCUGCUCCUUACUACCUCUCUGAGCCCCAUGUCCUUAAAAAUGGUGCCUACUUCAGAGGAUUCCUGUUAGACUCAACAAGAGGAUGUGACUACAACUUUUGAACAAGGUAAGCACACAGUGCUCUUAGUUACUAUUAUUUUUGUCUGUGUUUUAUAUGGUGAAUAUUCACUUUUUUCUUUUGAUCAUUUUUGAGGUAAAGAGUCAUUAACUCAUUCUUUUUUUUUGAGCCAGAGUCUCCCUUUGUCACCCAGGCUGGAGUGCAAUGGCACAAUCUCGGCUCACUGCAACAUCUCCCUCCAGGGUUCAAGCAAUUCUCCGGCCUCAGCCUCCUGAGUAGCUGGGAUUACAGGCACCCGCCACCACGCCUGGCUAAUUAACUCAUUCUUUUACCACUGGCCAUCAUUUAUUCAAUAAACAUGUACUGAAAGCCUGCUAUUUGCCAGGCAUUGUGGUGGAUGCUGAGAGCAUAUAGAGAAAAGAUAUUCUUUCUAGUCUCAAGGAGCUCACAGUCCACUGAUAAGACAGACUUGUGCUAUAGCAUACCUAUGGAACUAACGUGUACUAAUAUGGGAGCAUAAACCAUAGAAAUAAUAGAUCAAACAAAAGCAUGCCACUGGAAAUGGAGGGGAAAAGGAAGACAUAUCCAAGAAUUAUUAAGAAAGUAGAAAUGAUAGAACUUUGUUACGGAUUGGUAUGGGUUAAAGGGAAGAACUCAUGACUGCAGGGUUUUGAUUUGGACAAUAUGGUAUAUUUGGGCAAUGCAAUAGCACACAACAGGAAGAACAGAUUUGUGGAUAGGGAGUAAGGAAUGAUAAUUUGCAUCCAUUUAGAACUGCUGAACUUGAGGUAUCUCUAAGACAUUCAUAUAGCGAUGUCUACAUGACAGGGAUAUUCAUAUCUAGAGCUCAGAAUAAAGAUGAGCAAGAAAUAUAUAUGUGUGAGUCUUUCAUAGUGAAUAAGAUUGCUUCAGAAGAGAGUCUAAAAUGAGAAGACGGCCAAAGACAGAAACCAUUGCAACAGCAUUAUUUAAGAGAUGGACAGAAGACAAGCUUAUAAAGAUACUCAGAACGAAUCACUGAGGUAGGAAGAAAAUCAGGAUAAAAAUGGUAUUCUGGUAACCAAAAAGGAAGGAGGGAGAUAUUAACAGUGUCUAUAGUGAAUGACAAUGGCUGAAGUAAAGUCCUUGGAAAGAUUGUAAAAGGAACUGCAUGCAACUGCUGGCAGAAUGUUUACGUCUAUAUUGGUCUACAGUGCCAAGACAGAUGACAGAAUAUGACAGACUUCAUUGGGAAAAAGAGAGUUGAACUGGAUUUUCAAAAAUAAGUAAGGUUAUUUGAACAGAGAGGAGAGGGGAGAACACUUGGAGAGAAAGACACAACAUGGAGAUGGAGUUAGCUCUUUUUCUUUUUCAAGACAAUGAACAGAAUAGAAAGGAAGGUUCACCCUGAAGAGUAACAGCAUACAGGGUUGUGAACAUUGGUUCAAAUCCUAAAAUAAGAAAGGUUUUCAUUUAAAUAAGAAAGCAAACGGGGCAGCAUAUACAUUCUUGAGAAGGAGCAUGAUGGGAUGAGAGCAGUGUUUUAGUGACAUUGAACUGAAAGGCAGAAUGAUUUGUUCAGUGAGAGGUAAUAGAUAAUUCAAGGUUGUGGCUGCAUAUUUUAGACUGAGAAGUGUAUCUAGAAUAAAUAGAAUACAAAUAAGACAAAAAUAGAACAAAAAUGUGUUUUGUUGUGAUAUUAAUAUGUUAGUUUUUUUCUGCAAAGGUAUCCGUGACAUGUUGUCUUUUAAAAAAGUAAUUCCUUCAUGUGAGGUUUGACUCUCUUAGCAAAUGUCAUAUAAAGCAUUACUCUGACUUAUGCUCAUCACCCUACACAAUGCCUUCUAACUGAUGUUUAUAUUAACCUCACUCUAGAAACUUUCAGGGCCAGUGCUUUUAUUUCUCUCCUAGUUUCCUGAUUACAUUAUGUAUUCAAUAAACUGUUGCUGCAUAAAGUAAAUACCUCAGGUUUAUCCCUCAACACUAAGUGACAACAUGACUAAAUAAGCUUGUCUGCUCGUAUUAAAAUGGCUAAAUUAUCAAAUAAACUCAGAACCUUAAUUUAGAUACCAUCCUUGAACAUUCCCAAUUGCAUAUGAAGCUAUAAAUUAAUACAAUAAAAUUCCAUAUGUACAUACUUCAAUUGAAUUAAUUUCAUCAUUCACAUAAUAAAUAUGAACACUUUAAAUAAAAAUAUCGCUUCUGGUACUUUAAUCCUAAUUUGAACCAAAUUAUAUUUUUGACUAUUUAAUAUGCCUCACUUACUAAAAUGAAUUUAUUGUCAAUAUGUGCAGAUGAGCUGCUCUAAUGUAGCUUUUUUUAAACUGGGUCAGUGGAUUGUGUAGUGUUCUACCUACGUUCACUCAACAUUUAUUUGGAAAAUGUGGCAUAUUAUAUUCUCUCCUUGUUGAGCCAUAAUUCACACCAACAUAUUAACAUUUCUGGAAAAUCUGCAGUAAAGAAAUUUGGUAUGCCUAAGGAGGGCUGAGCACAUAGUAACUGUUCUUUAUAUAUUUAAUAAAUAAAAGAACUCUGUUUAAUUCAUUUUUUCUCAGGUUUGUUUGAACAUAGAACCCUAUUUUUUCCUAAUGACAUCCCAUGUUAUCAUUUGAUAGA